AAGAGUCUUUUUUCUUUGUCACUCACAACUUCACACGUAGCUCUUGCCUGAUGCCCCGAUCCCCUUUCUCCUUUCCUUGGUCUCUCCGUUCACUCCAAAAUUAUUGACACUAAAUCAGGCCCGGCUUGUACCACUGGUAAUUCUUAAUCUCCCACCAGUUUGCUCUGUUGAUUUGCGCCUUGAGCCUGCUAGUCCUCGGCUGCAGGCAUCCCCGCAGCUCGACUCGCUGGUGCGGCAACAUGGUGACCGUCUUUGACGGCUGGUUUGGCUCGUACGCCUCCUCUGUGUCCUUGGUUUGUUAGCGGCGAUGGAUCAUGGAUGUAUAGCAGGGCCCGAGUAGCAGCUCCAAUGGAGGAGGCGAGAUCGUUGAUCUGCACGGUGUCGUCGCUGUCAGCAUCCGUGUAGGGGAUCCUUGGUCGUGGAUCUCGACUCGCACAGCCAGCGUGGAUUCAGCUUUUGUAUGAGGAUAUUUGGUCCACUGUCUUCCUCAACCGUGCAAGCCAGACUUCGUCGUUGUUCCCACUCGAGGAAUCCCGACAUCUCGUCGUCUUCCUCCACAGCGGCAACAUGCUUCGACCUACAGGUCUCCUUUUUCCCUUUUCAUGUCUAUAUGCCAUAUAUUUUUGCUUAAUCUUUUCCUGUGUGUGUACGAUUGUACCAAUAUAAUGUAAUUAAAACACUGCCUGUUAGUGAAAAAUGUUAAUUUCUUUUGUCCCCUCCAAUUUUUCUGUGCUUCCUUUUGCAUCGACAGUGUUAGGUCCCUUGCCCCCAUUCAUACUCGGCAAAUUUAAGUACUAAUUAGUGUAUUAGUGAGUAGCUAUAGUUUAAUAUUUCCCAAAUACACUGUGUUUCAAUAAUUGAGCAAUAAAAAAGGUCUAUACAAAUUAUAAUGGUACACGGAUGCCCUGAUUAUUGGGUUGUACUAUAAAUUAAGCCACACAUAUCAGUAAGUACAGAGUGCCCAUAUUUGUAUUGAUAGCCCUAGUAAUAAAUGCUUAGUAAAUUUGGAUUUAGGUUUACACAAAAAUAUUAAAGUUCUGACCAUUGAAUUUUCGACCAAAUUCGAAGUGACAACCACUAUCGUUUGCUUGUGCAAAAGUUCUUCAUUCACCAUAUUUACUAAAGUAUCCCUGCAUAGCGUGAUCCCUGAUAUUGUCGCUACUGAAAGAAUUUAAGCAUGAAAAAGUGACUUAAGGAUCAUUUAUGUAGUCUAAAAUUUAUGUAGUAAUAUAAAUUAACUUCAGUCUCAUGGAUGUUUUGACAUCUGCGCAAAAUCAUGUUCAUAAAUCUUUUCAAUAAUACUUGUCCUUUGAUAUGGAUUUUGUACAUACCUGAGCAUUGUUUCUCAAUAUUUACUCCACUCUCUAAUGUAUCACUAUCAGCAAAUUCAAAUUAGUAGUCAAAAAAUUAAUUUUACCCUUUCCUUUAGAAUGUAUAGGCUAUUUCAUCUUUUCCCGUAUUUCUGAUUUAAUUGUGUAAUAGAAAACUUCAUCAAAGCUAAAAAUAAUCAAUAAUUAACAACUAAGUUUAAUUUACUUUUUCCAGAAUACGUAUUUUAUCUGGUUCACUGACAUCAUAACAAAUAGAUUUUGAUCAAAGAGAAACAUUUACCCGAAAAUGGUCAAAGUAUUGCGAAUGAUGCAACAACAACAAAAUUAAUAUGAAUUCCAAUGUUGGAAGGAAAAAUAAGGGCUAGCUUGUAACAUGAGUUUUCUUUGGUAUGGUCAUCGUCGUUCUCUAGUGCCUCCACCAUCUAGAGCCCAGCACCCAAUAUACGUAAGUUUUUUGAAAGGUAAUUUGCCAAACAAAAUAAAACGUCAACACGUACUAAUAUAGGUAGUUAAUUUACUAUAAAGACAACACAUUAAUGCUUUGUCUACACACAAAACUUGCUGGUAGUUGAAUUAUUGAACGUACCUAACUUCCAUAAUAUUUGUACAACAUUAUGUGUGCUUUUUUCAAACAAUUUAGAAAGAUAGCUUUUCUGAUCAAGCUCUUUGUUCUACGUACAGCAACAGUCAUGGCCUGCCUUCUAGUCUCGCAUGACCUCUUAAUAGUUUUUUUGAUCAAGAUUUUUUGUUCUCAUGUACAGUAAGAGCGGUAAACUACUUAUACAAUGAUUCAUUUGGUUUCAAAUCGUGCACAUAUGCUAUUUAUCCAGUUUCUGACGCAAAUCUGAUAGGAUAUAUGAGACCAUCUUAUUCUAUGAUAUUUGUUGUGCCUAAUUAUACUCUAAAUUUGCAUUCUCUUGUAAAGUUCAGUACAUUUGCCUUAUAAAGGAAGGUGCAAUUCUAUCUUAAGUAUUGUCAUGAUUCAUGGUAACGCUACCCCUCCUAACUCUGAAUAUAUUUGCUUAUAUCAUACUAUAGUAUUCAUUGAUCUAUUUAAGGACCAUAUAUAUAAAUGCGCAACUUUAUUCUUUUGUAUUCUGCUCCCUUUCGCAGUAACAUGGUCUUAACUCUAAAAGCUGCUGACCUGAAGACAUCAUUUAACCAAGCUGUGUUGAUCUAUCCGUUUGGUGCCACCACUACACUGGGAAAGAUCACCUGGCCAUCGGCAGCAUUACUUUUCAUUUUAAAUUGUAUUGCUUAAGUUGCUUCCCUUGCCCACUUUAUAUAAAAUUGGAACAAAAUGCAAUCACAUUCUGUUUUCGGCUAGUGAGCGCACACUUGUACAUGUAAAUUAAUACAUUAAGAAUUCAUCUAUCCAAUUCCUGGUAUAUACAUCCUGUAACAAAGCUGAAUUAGUAAUCAACUGAUACAAAGGCAGCAAGAAUAACUUGGGGCCAUGCACGCUAUGGAUUUCAAAGGCUGAUUAACUUGGGGGCAUGCACACUGGAUUUCAGAGGCUUAUAUCAAGCCUUCCCUGUUUCUUUAUUUGUCACAGGUGUUGGCAGUGUGGUUCAGAGGCUUAUAUCAAGUCUUCUCUCUUUCUUUAUUUAUCAUAGGUGUUGGCAGUGGCACACGUUCGGGGAAUUUCUGGCUAGCCAUGCAUGUACUGAUCAGGAGAUGCUCCUUAAAGUUAGCUUUGCUAAGCUACGUGUGCGGCGGCAUCAUAGAGCAAGCUAGCCCUAACAGGUCCAUGACUCCAUGUACGUGGUGUUUCAGGCUAGUCGUGCAUGUAAAAAUCCAACAUGUACAUAUCAAGCCACCUAAAGAAGGUAGCUUUGCCAAGGUACGCUCGCGGUGGCUAUCUACAACCAAUCUGAAAUUUAUCUUCAAUCUAAAUAAUUUUCUAUGAAACCGAGUUCCUCAAUCAGUCUUGGUACAUCUUGAUUAAAGCAAUGGGGAUAGUGAAUAUCAACUAUUCUACACCCUAGGGUUUGGGAAGGGGAGGCAUACCUUAAGAGGAUAACUGGAAGAAUGGAGUCGAUGGAGUACCAGGUCGUCUUCUUCGGUCUCCGGUGAUAGCAGACAUCGCCGGCGCUCGAGGCCUCGGUGAUAAUCGUGGCUGCCGCCAGGUCACCUCAAUUUUUUUCUUUUGAUGCUUGCCUCUUUUUCACGUAUAUGAGGAUGCAACAGAUCGAGAGGUUUUCUUUUGACGUGCAUGAGCGAAGGGAUUUGAAGUUUUCUUUGGUAAGAGGUUUUUUUCACGUGGGUGAGAUAACUUAUUAAUGGCAUUGGUGGGUAAUUUUAAAUCUUUUCAAUCCAUUGGUUGUGCUCGCGUAAUGAAUUAAAUUGAUGGUCAGAUGUUUCUAAUUAUUAUGGGAUUUUCUAGCAUAAUUCUCUUUUUUCUGGUUACCCCGUAAAGCACUUUUUAUAUAUAAAUAGAUUCGGAUUUCUCUAGGGGUGUUUGCAGAACUGCCGCGCAGCAUAUCUGAUGCCACACAAUUCUAUCAAGCCGAAGAAAGGAGCACUGCGAAGAAGCUCUUCUGGUCGCAGUAUCUGGCGCCAAAGUAUCCGGUGCCCUUUGCCGAUCAACUGAAGCAGCUGAUCGAACUGCAUAGGGCGGCCGAACUAGCCAUGAAGGAUUUAAUUAUCCGGCUAUGGCCCGCCGAGUAGAUUCCCAACAGCUACUUCGGGCUCGUGAAGCGGCUUGUGAGUGCCUGCCCUCAACUAGAAGUCAUCAAGCGGUCGGUCUACAUGGAAGGUGCGUGAAUGGCCUUCGCCCGUGCGAAGGUGCAUUGGGCAAAGAUGGAUGCCGAAAAGCUGAUGACCGAGGGACCGCCUGUGGGGAAGGAGCACCGCAAGCCCGAGUUAUAUUAUGAUAGUGUCCUGAAAGGAUCCCGCCUUGUGGCGGAGCAAUGCGCCAAGAACAUUAUAUUCUCAUGAAUACAUUCAUGUUGUCCUAUGUAAUGUUAAACAAG
rnacentral:rRNA from 1 species